CCUACGGGGGGCUGCAGUGGGGAAUAUUGGACAAUGGGGGCAACCCUGAUCCAGCCAUGCCGCGUGUGUGAAGAAGGCCCUCGGGUUGUAAAGCACUUUCAGUGAGGAAGAACGCCUUGUGGUUAAUACCCAUCAGGAAAGACAUCACUCACAGAAGAAGCACCGGCUAACUCCGUGCCAGCAGCCGCGGUAAUACGGAGGGUGCGAGCGUUAAUCGGAAUUACUGGGCGUAAAGCGCGCGUAGGUGGCUUGAUAAGCCGGUUGUGAAAGCCCCGGGCUCAACCUGGGAACGGCAUCCGGAACUGUCAAGCUAGAGUGCAGGAGAGGAAGGUAGAAUUCCCGGUGUAGCGGUGAAAUGCGUAGAGAUCGGGAGGAAUACCAGUGGCGAAGGCGGCCUUCUGGACUGACACUGACACUGAGGUGCGAAAGCGUGGGUAGCAAACAGGAUUAGAUACCCUUGUAGUC
rnacentral:rRNA from 1 species